AUGUCCGUGAAAUCCAGCCGAAAGCGAACACGGCACACCAUCGGAAACGUCAACCAGAUCCGCGCACCACCGAUGCCGACGACCACCACACACGUGAAUAGAGUCUGCAACCAACCUUCAAUCGUGCGGUCCACCAUCACCUGCAAGUUACAUCACACUCACUGCUGCCGCGCGCCGCUAGAAACUGUUAGCAUCCCUUUUGAUCUACGUACAACCACCACCGCCGAUACUCCAUUCACUCUGAUCGACCAUGCAUCUUUGUGA